rnacentral:rRNA from 1 species
AUUGAACGCUGGCGGCAUGCUUUACACAUGCAAGUCGAACGGUAACAGGGUGCUUGCACCGCUGACGAGUGGCGAACGGGUGAGUAAUGCGUCGGAACGUGCCGAGUAGUGGGGGAUAACGCAGCGAAAGUUGUGCUAAUACCGCAUACGUACUGAGGUAGAAAGUGGGGGACCUUCGGGCCUCACGCUAUUCGAGCGGCCGACGUCUGAUUAGCUAGUAGGUGAGGUAAAGGCUCACCUAGGCGACGAUCAGUAGCGGGUCUGAGAGGAUGGUCCGCCACACUGGGACUUAGACACGGCCCAGACUCCUACGGGAGGCAGCAGUUGGGAAUUUUGGACAAUGGGCGCAAGCCUGAUCCAGCAAUGCCGCGUGCAGGAAGAAGGCCUUCGGGUUGUAAACUGCUUUUGUACGGAACGAAACGGUCUGGGUUAAUACCCUGGGCUAAUGACGGUACCGUAAGAAUAAGCACCGGCUAACUACAUGCCAGCAGCCGCAGUAACAC